AUUGAACGCUGGCGGCAUGCCUUACACAUGCAAGUCGAACGGCAGCACGGGAGCAAUCCUGGUGGCGAGUGGCGAACGGGUGAGUAAUGUAUCGGAACGUACCUUUCAGUGGGGGAUAACGUAGCGAAAGUUACGCUAAUACCGCAUAUUCUGUGUGCAGGAAAGCAGGGGAUCGCAAGACCUUGCGCUGAUUGAGCGGCCGAUAUCAGAUUAGCUAGUUGGUGAGGUAAAGGCUCACCAAGGCGACGAUCUGUAGCGGGUCUGAGAGGACGACCAACCACACUGGGACUGAGACACGGCCCAGACUCCUACGGGAGGCUG
rnacentral:rRNA from 1 species